UUGACCUCGGAUCAGGCAGGA
rnacentral:rRNA from 1 species